rnacentral:rRNA from 1 species
GAUGAACGCUAGCGGCAGGCUUAAUACAUGCAAGUCGAGGGGCAGCACGGUUAGCAAUAACUGGUGGCGACCGGCGCACGGGUGCGUAACACGUAUACAAUCUACCUUAAACAGGGGGAUAGCCUUUCGAAAGAGAGAUUAAUACCCGUAAUAAAUUGAACGGCAUCGUUUGAUUUUUGAAAGCUCCGGCGGUUUGAGAUGAGUAUGCGUCUGAUUAGCUAGUUGGUGAGGUAACGGCUCACCAAGGCGACGAUCAGUAGGGGAUCUGAGAGGACUAACCCCCCACACUGGUACUGAGACACGGACCAGACUCCUACGGGAGGCAGCAGUAAGGAAUAUUGGUCAAUGGAGGCAACUCUGAACCAGCCAUGCCGCGUGCAGGAUGACGGCCCUAUGGGUUGUAAACUGCUUUUAUACAAGAGAAAACCCUGGUACGUGUACCAGGUUGAUAGUAUUGUAAGAAUAAGCA